rnacentral:rRNA from 1 species
UACAGAGGGGGGCAAGCGUUGUUCGGAAUUACUGGGCGUAAAGGGCGCGUAGGCGGCCUUCUAAGUCGAACGUGAAAUCCCCGGGCUCAACCCGGGAACUGCGUCCGAUACUGGAAGGCUUGAAUUCGGGAGAGGGAUGCGGAAUUCCAGGUGUAGCGGUGAAAUGCGUAGAUAUCUGGAGGAACACCGGUGGCGAAGGCGGAUCUCUGGGCCUUAC